AGUAGUUAAGUGCAUAUGGUGGAUGCCUAGGCACAAGAAGCCGAAGAAGGACGUGCUAAGCUGCGAUAAGCUCCGAUGAGCCGCUAAGAGGCGCUAUUAGUCGGAGAUUUCCGAAUGGGGAAACCCAUCUUGCUAUGCAAGAUACAACAUGGCCAAUACAUAACCAUGUUGAGGUAAGCCAGCGAACUGAAACAUCUUAGUAGCUGGAGGAAAGGAGACAGACAUGUUAUUACCUGAGUAGUGGCGAGCGAAAGGGUAAGAGCCCAAACUGUAUGGGUUGGGUUUGUAUGAAUCAUUUGGGUUUUGCUCAUUUGAGGAUUACAAAUCCGCUAUGCUAGUAGUAACCAUGCAGGGUUGUAGGAUUAACCGUUCUUUGUCUAGCAGCAAAGAGAGCAAGUCAAAAAUUUUACUUGUAGUGGAAUUCUGAUGGAACUCAGAACCAUAGAGCGUAAAAGUCGCGUACACGAAACAAGUAAAACUUGCUGGGUUAACUCCUGAGUACUACCAAAUAGGUGUAACUUGGUAGGAAUCUGUCCCAACCACGGGAUAAGGCUAAAUACUUCUUGUGACCGAUAGUGAACCAGUACCGUGAGGGAAAGGUGAAAAGAACCCCUGUUAGGGGAGUGAAAUAGUACCUGAAACCAUAUGCAUACAAGCAGUCGGAGCUUCUUUAUGAAGUGACGGCGUGCCUAUUGAAGAAUGAGUCUGCGAGUUAUCAUGCACAGCAAGGUUAAGGCGUUCUGCGCUGGAGCCGAAGGGAAACCGAGUCUUAACGGGCGUUUAGUUGUGUGUGAUAGACCCGAAGCCGUGUGAUCUAACCAUGAGCAGGAUGAAUCUUGUAGAAAUACAAGAGGAGGUCCGAACCGUUAAGCGGUGAAAAGCUUUCGGAUGACUUGUGGUUAGGGGUAAAACGUCAAUCGAACACGGCAAUAGCUGGCUCUCCCCGAAAUAGCUUUAGGGCUAGCCUUGGAUGAACUCAUGUGGAGGUAGAGCGCUGAUUGAGUCGUGGGCCGCUUCGGCGGUACCUCACUCUGUCAAACUUCGAAUGCCAUGUGACAUUAUCCAGGAGUUAGACUAUGGGAGAUAAGUUCCAUUAGUCGAGAGGGAAACAGCCCAGAAUAUCGGAUAAGGUCCCAAAAUCUAUGCUAAGUGGUAAAGGAGGUGGAGUUUCAAAGACAGCCAGGAGGUUUGCUUGGAGGCAGCCAUCCUUGAAAGAGUGCGUAACAGCUCACUGGUCGAGAGACUCUGCGCCUAGAUUGAUCGGGGCUCAAGCAUAGUACCGAAGCCAUAUCUAGUAAGAUUAUCUUACUGGGGUAGGGGAGUGUUGUAUAUGCAUUGAAGCUGUGCUGGAAGGCAUGGUGGAGCGUAUACAAGUAAGAAUGCAGACAUGAGUAACGAAAUCUGGAUGAAAAAUCUGGACACCGAAUACCUAAGGUUUCCGUAGCUAUGCUAGUCAUCUACGGGUUAGUCGGUCCUAAGCCGAGGCCGAAAGGCGUAGGCGAUGGAUAACAGGUUAAUAUUCCUGUACUGAACAUUAUUCGCUAUUAGCUAGGGAGGGACUGUUCAGGAAAAUUUAGAGUGCUGAUAGGUCAGCAUUCAAGUCGUAAGUCAGAAUGGCUAGGCAAAUCCGGUCAUUCGUUUACACGAGCGACGAUGAAAAGAUUAGUCUUACGGGGCUAAUCAAUUCUAAUGAUUCUGGACACUGGAAAAUCUUCUAUGCGAGAAUAAUGUUCAACCGUACCGCAAACCGACACAGGUAGGUUAGUUGAGAAUACGCAGGUGUACGAAUAACUCCUUGUUAAGGAACUCGGCAAAUUUGUCCCGUAUCUUUGGUAAAAGGGACGCCUGCCACUGCUUUUGUAGUGUCAGGUCGCAGUGAAAAGGCCCAAUCGACUGUUUAACAAAAACACAGGUAUGUGCCAACUCGCAAGAGGAUGUAUACAUACUGACGUCUGCCCAAUGCCAGAAUAUCACGGAAGGGGGUGAUUCUUCGGAUGAGCCUCUGACUUAAGUACUGGUCAAUGGCGGCUGUAACCAUGACGGUCCUAAGGUAGCGAAGUUCCUCGGCGCUUAAUCGGCGUCCCGCACGAAUGACGUAACGAGUUGGGCACUGUCUUGACAAGGAAUUCGGUGAAAAUGAAAUGGCUGUGAAGAUGCGGCCUACCCACACCAGGACAAAAAGACCCCGGGAGCUUUACUACAACUAAGCAUUGAUGUAAAACUUUCUAUGUAGAGCGUAGGGAGGAGACUUUGAAGCAUUCGCGCCAGCGGGUGUGGAGUCGCCAAUGUAACACUUCCCUUAGACUGUUUUGCAUCUAACUGUGGCCGUAAUCCGGUUUUCAGGACAGUUGCUUGGCGGGUAGUUUGACUGGGGCGGUCUCUUACUAAAGAGUAACGUAAGAUUCCAAAGGUCACCUCAAGCUGUAUGGAAAUCAGCUGAAGAGUACAAAGGCAUAAGGUGGCUUUACUGCGAGACCUACAAGUCGAGCAGUUACGAAAGUAGGGCUUAGUGACCUUUUCGUAGCGAGUGGAAGCGCGAUUGGUCAAAGGAUAAAAGUUACCCCGGGGAUAACAGGCUAGUCUUGCCCAAGCGUUCAUAGCGACGGCAAGGUUCGGCACCUCGAUGUCGGCUCGUCACAUCCUGGGGCUGUAUCAGGUCCCAAGGGUUGGGCUGUUCGCCCAUUAAAGUGGCACGCGAGCUGGGUUCAGACCGAAGUGAUUCAGGUCGGUCUCUAUCCGGUGUGGGCGUUCGAAUUCUGAGGAGAUUGACUCUUAGUACGCGAGGACCAGAGUCAGGCAACCUCUAGUGCACCAGUUGUUCCACCAGGAGCAUCGCUGGGUAGCUACGUUGCUAUAUGGAUAACCACUGAAGGCAUCUAAGUGGGAAACCAACUCCAAGAUUAGAAUUCGUCAUUAGGUUCCUAGUAGACCACUAGGUUGAUAGGCACUAGGUGUAAGUACAGUAAUGUAUUUAGCCAAGGUGUACUAAUAUACCGAAUACUU
rnacentral:rRNA from 1 species